GAGAUGACAUGCUGAAAGCAAACUAAGAAGACAUGGCUGGCCUGCUGACCCUGCCUGCUCUCAUCUCAGCCCUGAUACUUUUUAACUGAAUGACAUUGGCCAAGUGUCAUAAAUUGUUUAAUACAGUGGCUGCCUCAGCAUCCAUUUUCAGGCCUGACCUAAGUUGUCUGAAGCCCAGUCUCACUGUAUCACCUCUGGUCUGGGUAACACUUCCCCUCCCUGAGUGGUUGUUUGUAAUGCGGCCCAUUUGCUCUUCAUCGCACUGACCCAGAACCCACACAUCACACAGCUGCUGACCACGAUCAAACCUAACGGCCAACACCAGACUCCUGUGAAUAAGCCCCGCUUUGCACGUGUUCUUCUUGAAUCAGCCAAGCCACACCCCCACGGGAAAGCCCCAGGACAAAGCUCCAGGCCCUCCCUCUCCUCUCUGGCUUCCCGUGGCCCCUGAACUCCCCCUCGGGCUCCCUCUGCUCGCCGGACCUCUCUGGGAUGUGACCACCCUGGCUGCGAUGUGGUAACUAAAGACAGCAAAUACUGAAGCAGGAAAGAGAAGGUCCUUCUAACAGGAGAGACAUAAUGGCUGACUGGACCGGGGGAGGGAUAGUAAGAGUGACAGUAACAAGCCGUUAAGAGUCUGGAUAUAGUUUGAAGAAAGAGCCCACAGGAUCUGUGCUAACAGAAAUGAAGGACAAUGACAAGAUUUUUGUCUAAGCAACUGAAAAAUGGAGGUACUGGUUUGCUAACAUGAGUAAAAACAACGUAUGAGGAAGAAAUAUCAGGGGCCCAGUUCUGGGUAGGUUAACUUUGUUAUUAGACAUCUGAGUGGAGAUAUUGAGUUAAGGAACCUGGAAUUCAGACGAGAGGUCAGGGCUGAAGAUAUAAAUUCAGGAGUCAUCAUAAAUUCAGGAGUCAUCAUCAGAUAUAGAUAAUUCUUAAAGGAAUGAAAAAGAAUGAGACUACCCAGGGACUAAGUGAAGCUAGAGAAGCAGGGAGCCCAAGGACUGAAUCUGGGAUACUUCCAACACGAGGAGAAAGAGAACUGGCAAGGGUGACUGGAAAGAGGCCAGGGAAGAAUUCAAGAGUGGCGUGCCCAAAGACAGGUGAAAAAGCACCUGAAGAGGUGAAGAUCAAUUGCAACAAAUGCUGGAGAUGGCUCAAAAUGAGGACUUAGAAUUGACAAGGGAUUUAGCAUUAUGGAGAUCACUGGUGACCUGUGGAGAGUGGUUUCUGGUGGAGGACAAAGCCUGACUGGACAGGGUGAAAGACAGAAUGUAAGCAGAGGAAUUAAGAGCAGCAAGGAUGCACGCAUCUUUUGAGAAGUUUUACAUCCAACGAGUACAGUAAAGUGAAGAUGCAAGAGAUAGAAGUGCUACAGCAGGAAAGAGGGAAAAUAUCUACUGCCCAAGUACAAGUGUUAACCUGGGACAGGAACACCUAUAGAGAGACAAUCUGGACACACAAGAGAAAUGCACCAAAAAAUAAGACACACAGGCUAAAAACACACUGAUUUCCAAUGAGUGCUUGGUCCUUACCUUUUGUUGCUCUGUUCAUUUGCAACUUAUACCUAAUUAAUAACCACUCAGAUUUCCCUUCGUGUUUUUAUUGAAUGGGUCACUGACAAAAAUCAAUAAAGCACCUGGCAACUAGAAACAAACUACAAUCUAGAUCUUUCCAAUCAUUUCAUUGCAAACUAUUCCUAUUAAAUGUAAAACUAUGCUACUUAAGAGUUUUAAAACAAAUCCAAUUAUUUUUAUUCCUAUAUUUAAUGUCCGAAUGUGCAUUGAACAUUUAAAAACAAACAUUUAAAAAUACACAAAUACAGCCGAGAGCAGUGGCUCACACCUGUAAUCCCAGCACUUUGGAAGGCUGAGGCAGGUAAUGACCUGAGGUCAGGAGUUCAACACCAACCUGACCAAUAUGGUGAAAUCCUGUCUCUACUAAAAUUUCAAAAAUUAGCCGGGCAUGGAGGCAUGCACCUAUAGUCCCAGCUACUCGGGAGGCUGAGGCAGGAGAAUCGCUUGAACCCGGGAGGAGGAGGUUUCAGUUAGCUGAGCUCAUGCAACUGCACUCCAGCCUAGGCGACAGAGCGAGACUCCUCCAAAACAAACAAACAAACAAAAAAACCCUUUGUAUAAUCCAUGCAGCAGCAGUAGGUACUGACUCACUUCUAUGACUUGGAGCAUGACCAAAUGAUUUUUCAUUAUAUAGACUUAAAUUUGUUUUUGUUCUAAGACAAAGUCUUGCUCUGUUGCUCAGGCUGGAGUAAGUGGCAUGAUCACAGCUCACUGUAGCCUUGACCUGCCGGGCUCAAGCAAUCCUCCCACCUGAGCCCCUUGAAUAGCUGGGACCACAGGUGUGUGCCACCACACCCAGCUACAUUUUUGUUUUUUGUCGAGACAGGGUCUCACUAUGCUGCCCAGGCUGGUCUCUAACUCCUGGGCUCAAGUGAUCCUCUGGUCUCAGCCUCCAAAAGUGCUGGGAUUACAUGUAUUAGCCACCACACCUGGCUUGUUUUUCUGACUCGUUACUGUGGUGGCUUUAAAAUGUGUCCACUUGGCCGGACACGGUGGCUCUUGCCUGUAAUCCCAGCACUGUGGGAGGCCAAGGCACACAGAUCACCUGAGGUCAGGAAUUUGAGACCGGCCUGGCCAAAAGGGUGAAACUACUAAAAAUACAAAAGUUAGCUGGGUGUGGUGGCAGAUGCCUGUAAUCCCAGCUACUUGAGAGGCUGAGGCAGGAGAGUCGCUUGAACCUGGGAGGCGGAGGUUGCAGUGAGCCAAGAUCGCACCAUUGUACGAUUGUUGGCUAGGCAACAAGAGGAAGACUCAGUCUCGGAAAAAAAAAAUUAUAUAUAUAUGUAUGUGUGUAUCUAUGUAUGUGUAUAUGUGUGUGUGUGUGUGUGUGUAUAGAUAUAUGUAUGUACACUUUACCCUUGUUCAUUCGAGAAGGUAAAAAAUGAAAAAAAAAGGUCCAAAAAUUCUUUUGAUACUCCUCCCUUUAAAGGGUGGAACUGAACUCCGCUCCCAUUGACCAUGAAGCGUACUUAGUGACUCACUUCUAACACAUAAAGCUAAAGUUGACAGUAUGUAACUUUUGAGACUUGGUCACAAAAAGAUAUUUUACAUGUGUGGUCAACUGAUUCUUUAUGAAAGUGUCAAGAUAAUUCAGUGGGGAAAGAAUCUUUUCAACAAAUGGUGCCAGGACAAGAGGAUGUCCACAUGCAAAAGAAUGUGUAAAAGUUAAUCCCUUCCCGUCCCACCCACCCCCAAUACAGAGUCUCGCUCUGUUGGCCAGGCUGGAGUGCAGUGGCAAGAUCUCGGCUCACUGCAACCUCCACCUCCCAGGUUCAAGCAAUUCUCCUGCCUCAGCCUCCCGAGUAGCUGGGAUUGUAGGUGCGCGCCACCAUGCCCAGCUAAUUUUUGUAUUUUUAGUAGAGACAGGGUUUCACCAUGUUGGCCAGGCUGUUCUCAAACUCCUGAUCUCAGGUGAUCCACUUGCCUCCGCAUCCCAAAGCGCUGGGAUUACAGGUGUGAGCCACCGCGCCCAGCUGUAUAAGAAUCCUAUAAAACUCUCAGAAGACAACACAGGAGAAAACAUCCAUGACCUUGGGUCAGGCAAUUAUUCCUCAGACAUGACACCAAAAACAAAAGAGACAAAAGAAAAAGGUAACUGGACUUCAGAAUUAAAAUCUUGUUUCAGGCCUGGCAUAGUGGCUCACACCUGUAAUCCCAGCACUUUGGGAGGCUGAGGCGAGUGGAUCAUGAGGUCAGGAGUUCGAGAUCAGCCUGACCAACGUGGUGAACCCCGUCUCUACUAAAAAUACAAAAAUCAGCUGGGCAUAGUGGUAUGUGCCUGUAAUCCCAGCUACUCAGGAGGCUGAGGGAGGAGAAUUGCUUGAACCCAGGAGGGAGAGACUGCAGUGAGCCGAGAUCAUGCCACUGUACUCCAGCCCAGGCAAGAGAGCAAGACUCUGUCUUAAAAAAUCAAUCAAUCAAUCAAUCAAUCAACCAAUCAAUCAAUCAAUCAAUCAACCAAUCAAUCAAUCUUGUUUCAAAAGACACUAUAAAGAAAGGGAAAAAAAACUGCAGAAUAGGAGAAAAUACAUGUAAAUCACAAAAUAUUUGUAUUCAGAAUUAUGUAAAGAAUUCUUACAACUCAAUAAUAAAAAGACAACCCAAUUUAAAAAAUGGGCAAUAGAUCUGGACAGACAUUCAAUCAUCCAUUAGUUAUUAGGGAAAUGCAAAUCAAAACCACAAUGAGGCCGGGUGCAAUGGCUCCCACCUGUAAUCCUUGCACUUUGGGAGGCCAAGGCGGGCAGAUCACUUCAGGUUAGGAGUUCGAGACCAGCCUGGCCAACAUGGUGAAACCCCGUCUCUACUAAAAACACAAAAAUUAGCUGGGCGUGGUGGCACAAGCCUUUGUAAUCCCAGCUACUCGGGAGGCUGAGAGCAGGAGAACUGUUUGAACCUGGGUGGCAGUGGUUGCAGUGAGCCAAGAUCACACCACUGCAUUCCAGCCUGGAUGACAAAGCAAGACUCUGUCUCAAAAAAAAAAAAAAAAAAAACCACAAUGAGAUACUACUUCAUACCCGAUAGGAUGGCUAUACUCAAAAAGACAAAAUUUAACUCUCAUGCAUUG
rnacentral:lncRNA from 1 species